UGUUGAAACAAUAACAGGAUCUUUCAUCAAUUCCAGGGAUAUUGGACAGCGGAAAUCUUCUGGUAUAACUGGUGCCUUGUGAUUCCCAUUACCACUGCCGCUUGGAGGAUGAUUCUUUUCUCUUACAGGAGCAUCCAUGUUGGGGUUUUCUGUUUGUACAAAAUCCUUUAUUUUCUUCAAUAGCAUCGACAUCUUCUCAAUGUUUUCACCAGGAUCACCACCAGUGGCAGCAACCAUUUCAUGCAAGGCUAAUGACUC
rnacentral:misc_RNA from 1 species